rnacentral:lncRNA from 1 species
UUUCACCGCGGGAGAGCCGUUACCGGAGCAGCAGAUAACCAGCUCCGCUUCCGCUGCUAUUAAUAACGCUGAUGACAUUCACUGCUGGAGAUAGACGGAACCGUCCUCUGCACUCUGAUAUGCACCGCCGUAUAGAUGGUAAACACGGAACAUAGACGGUACCGCGAAGAUAACUGAACACGAAUUGUUCUGUAGAGGCUUCAGAAAAUGAACGGUACCGUAGAGACAACCGAACUAAAACAGAGACAUCAGAAUCUGGACGCACCAUAUAGACACCGUUACAAAGACGGUGCCUUUAAGUCAUUCCAGCAUACACGUUAGCCGUUAGCUGUUAGUCAAAGUGAAACACACACAGGUAACUUUACGUUAGACUGGCUGGGCCAUCCAGGCUAACUUUACGUUACCGGAAAUGAGCAGAGAUGUAACACACCCGCUUGUCCGUCAGGUGUGACACAGUUAGUCAGGUUAGCAUGUUUGUGUUGAGGUAAAUAAAAGUGAAAUUGUUGUGUUCAUGUGUACAUUAUACAGGUAGAUAGAUUCAGGUGUUCUAGUGUUCAUCCUCCACCUGGGGCCUGUUUGCCUCUUUUCUCGCUCAGUGUCUCAGGUAUGAUAUUAACAGUUGACAAUAUUUUUCAUUUUCCCAUCUUUACAGCUUAACACCUGCACACCUGAAUUAAAUGAAACAGUUUAAACUAACUAUUAAUGUUUUUAUUGGUGUAGGCCUGAUAUACAUUAGUGAUGGGAAGAACUGUCCUUUUGACUGUACUGAAUCUUUAGAAUCCGUUCAUUAAAACAAUUUGUUCAAAUGAUUCGUUCACAGAAUCAGUCAGCGCUUCGGAGCCCCGUCCUGCCGGUGCAGUAAACCACUAGGUGACACAGCGGCGAGUUUGUUCAUUGAACAAGCCCCUCCCCUGCUGCUGAAGUCACAGCGUCGUUCACUGGGUGACACAUGUCGUUCAUUUGCCAAGUCCUGAAGGAAGUAUCACUCCCCUGUAGUGCUGGGCGAUAUGGAAAAAAAUGUAUAUCACGAUAUGGAUCAUUUUAUAUCACGAUAACGAUAUAUAUCACGAUAUAGCUAUGGUAUGCUUUCAGUUCUAUGAAAAAUUAAAGUGUAUACAGCUGCCCUAGUACAGUGCCAGUACAAGACCAGCACUUAAAACUAGAAAAAUGAAUAAAUAAAUAUGUGGCUGAAGUGCGUUCAUGUCUGUGCUCACCCAAAGUUAUGCAACACUCACAGAAAACGCCAAUAGUGUGAGCCAAAGCACUCCAUAAUAAUAAUAAUAAUAAUAAUAAUAAUAAUAAUAAUAAUAAUAAUAAUAAUAAUAAUAAAUUUAAUUUGUAAUGCGCUUUACAUUUACAAAAAAUCUCAAAGUGCUACAGUACCCAGUAAAAAAAGAGCAGCGACAACAAAAAAAGCAAUAGAAUGACAGUCACAGAUUAGCAUAAAAAAGAAUUUAAAAAAUUAAUAAUAUUUAGAGUUGCAAUGUAAGAGGCAAGGUAGUAAGAAAACUAACCAAAGGCUUUAUUAAAAAGGUAGGUCUUUAGGGCUCUUUUGAAGAGGUUGUUCACACUGCUAGAUGUUUCUCCUCCAAAGCUGCUCUCUGCCUCCAUCAUUGUUUACUUUACUCUUGAAGCACGUAGGAAGACCCGAGCAUGAAUCCGAGCGCUUUAUUCGCCUAUCAGGGGCAGACAGGUAAGGUUAGUGCUGGGCGAUAUGGAAAAAAAUGUAUAUCACGAUAUGGAUCAUUUUAUAUCACGAUAACGAUAUAUAUCACGAUAUAGCUAUGGUAUGCUUUCAGUUCUAUGAAAAAUUUAAGUGUAUACAGCUGCACUAGUACAGUACCAGUACAAGACCAGCACUUAAAACUAGAAAAAUGAAUAAACAAAUACGUGGCUGAAGUGCGUUCAUGUCUGUGCUCACCCAAAGUUAUGUAACACUUACAGAAAACGCUGAUGGUGUGAGCCGAAGCACUCCAUAAUAAUAAUAAUAAUAAUAAUAAUAAUAAAUUUAAUUUGUAAUGCACUUUACAUUUACAAAAAAAUCUCAAAGUGCUACAGUACACAGUAAAAAAAGAGCAGCAACAAUAAAAAAAAAGCAAUAGAAUGACAGUCACAGAUUAGCAUAAAAAAGAAUUUAAAAAAAAUAAAAUAUAUAGAGUUGCAAUGUAAGAGGCAAGGUAGUAAAAGCAUAAAGCAUAGAGGAAAACUAACCAAAGGCUUUAUUAAAAAGGUAGGUCUUUAGGGCUCUUUUGAAGAGGUUGUUCACACUGCUAGAUGUUUCUCCUCCAAAGCUGCUCUCUGCCUCCAUCAUUGUUUACUUUACUCUUGAAGCACGUAGCAAGACCC